rnacentral:lncRNA from 1 species
UCACUGUCUCAGUCAUAAUUUUGCAAAGGUGGUUUCAUCUGGAGGGUGGUGCAUCCAGGGAGGGCAUGGAAGCUCCAUGCCCCUUUGCCCAUACCUCAUCCUGUACAUCUCUUCAUCUGUAUCCUUUGUAACAUCCUUUAUAAUAAACUGGUAAACCUAAGUAAGUGUUUCUCAGUGUCCUGUGAGCCAUUCUUGCAAAUUCGGCAAAUCCAAAGAAGGGGUCAUGGGAACCCCAACUUGAAGCCUGUCAGUCAGAAGUUCCAGAGGCCUAGAUAGCUUGGGGCAGACUCCUCUCGUAAGUGUUAGAUUCAUUUGCUCAGCUGCUAUAACAAAGUACGACACACCGGGGGAAUUAAAACAACAGAAAUGUAUUGUCUCACCGUUCGGGAAUCAGGCGUCAGCAGGGCUACGCUCUCUCUGAUGGUGCUAGGAGGGAGCUUGCCAUACCUGCUGCAGCUUCUGCUGUUUGCCCACAAUCUCUGCCAUUCUUUGGCUUGUAGAUGCCACUCCAAGCACAUGGCCAUUGUGAAAGGAAAACCUCUUGGGCCCCCAAAAUCACUAAGGAAAACUCAAGCUUGAAACUGCUUAGGGCAAACCUGCCUCCCAUGCUAUUCAAAGUUAUUUCUCCGCUCACUG